rnacentral:rRNA from 1 species
GAUGAACGCUGGCGGCGUGCUUAACACAUGCAAGUCGAACGAAGCACUUUAUUUGAUUUCCUUCGGGACUGAUUAUUUUGUGACUGAGUGGCGGACGGGUGAGUAACGCGUGGGUAACCUGCCUUGUACAGGGGGAUAACAGUUGGAAACGGCUGCUAAUACCGCAUAAGCGCACAGCAUCGCAUGAUGCAGUGUGAAAAACUCCGGUGGUAUAAGAUGGACCCGCGUUGGAUUAGCUAGUUGGUGAGGUAACGGCCCACCAAGGCGACGAUCCAUAGCCGAGCUGAGAGGGUGACCGGCCACAUUGGGACUGAGACACGGCCCAAACUCCUACGGGAGGCAGCAGUGGGGAAUAUUGCACAAUGGGCGAAAGCCUGAUGCAGCGACGCCGCGUGAGCGAAGAAGUAUUUCGGUAUGUAAAGCUCUAUCAGCAGGGAAGAUAAUGACGGUACCUGAAUAAGAAGCACCGGCUAAAUACGUG